GCUCUCGUAGCUCAAUGGAUAGAGCAAGACCCUUCUAAGGUCGAGAUAUAGGUCCGAUUCCUAUCGAGAGCA
rnacentral:tRNA from 1 species